GACGAACGCUGGCGGCGUGCUUAACACAUGCAAGUCGAGCGGAAAGGCCCCUUGUGGGUACUCGAGCGGCGAACGGGUGAGUAACACGUGAGUAAUCUGCCCUUCACUUCAGGAUAGCUCCCGGAAACGGGGAUUAAUACUGGAUAUGACACAUUCGCGCAUGUGGGUGUGUGGAAAGUUUUUUCGGUGGGGGAUGUGCUCGCGGCCUAUCAGCUUGAUGGUGGGGUAAUGGGCUACCAUGGCUUCGACGGGUAGCCGGCCUGAGAGGGUGACCGGUCACACGGGGACUGAGACACGGCCCAGACUCCUACGGGAGGCAGCAGUGGGGAAUAUUGGACAAUGGGCGGAAGCCUGAUCCUGCAACGCCGCGUAAGGGAUGACGGCCUUCGGGUUGUAAACCUCUUCCAGCACAGACGAAGCGCAAGUGACGGUAUGUGCAGAAGAAGGACCGGCCAACUACGUGCCAGCCGCCGCUGUAAGAC
rnacentral:rRNA from 1 species